rnacentral:lncRNA from 1 species
GAUAAAUGACGGACUAGCUAGAGGGUUUUUCUCCACACAUGACACAUAUGCAACCUAAAUUGAUUUUCAAUUGUUCUUUCAAUAAGUUGUGAAUUUCAACACUUCAGAUUAACCGUGAAUAGCACUUUUUUAAUCUUCAAGUUUUCCUUAAGUUAUUGAAUUGGACGGGAAAACGCAUACAACAAUUCAAAACAUUCUUCAAAAGUCCCCUACGUGAAAAGCACAAUAGAGAUACAAUCAAAGAUCAUUAAACUUUGUGAAAACUAUAAGCAUUGACGAGGCAUUCGUAACUAUGAAAAGCAUGAUACUCUUGCCAAGAAUUUACUUAACGUGAUUGUGACUAGCAACCUUUACUACUUGUGAAAAUAAGUUCAUAACGAUUAGGUGAAAUUCACUUAUAUUCUAGCAUCAAAUUCAUGCAUGUAAAUUAAGCGUGCACUCUCAACCAACAUACACAAAUCAGUUUUUAUACGAACGGAUAAGUAAAUUGAAAUCACAACUUAUGAAAUCACAACCGAAGGUAAUCAAUUCAUAUUACAAAUAUAUUCAUGGCUUUGAAUUAACCUCUAGCCAAAAUAAAUUUAAUUACACAUUAUUAAAACAAAAAUAAAAUAGAAGUUUGAAAAGAUUAAACCGAAAGAAGGUGAUCUGUUGCUUUCGUGCCCACGCUGCCAAGGGUAGCUUUCUGUGCCGUUGGUUUCUCGUUCCUGCGCCUGCCGUUCUCUCCCCUCGCGCUGAUUUCUUCUCGCUGACCCCGUGCUGCCCAAGGCAGCCUCCUUAUUUCUCUCUUUCCUGCGUCUCUGCGAGCUGCCCAAAGGGCAGCCCCUUUCUCCCGCUCCCCAGACCCCCCUGUCUUCUGACCUCUUUCCCUCCUUUUAUUAUUUUCCUCCCUCCACCAAAAAUGAAGCUCGAGCUGCCUACCUCGACAACCAAGCAGGUACUUCUUGAUUUUAUUCUUGCAUCAAUUCUGACCGUCCCUUUUCUCCACGUCAGCCCCCACCUGCUUUCACGUUUCUGCCUUGCUAUCUUUCUUUCCUUUAUUUUAUUUGUUUCUCUUUUUCUUUCCUGUUUUCACUUCAUAUUUUUAUUUCCAUCCCAUCUGCUGACCAGCUGCAAAGCAGCUUUUCACGCCUAGCUUUGGACCUGCCACUUAUUCCCUUUGCAGUCUGUCCGUCCCACGUUUUUCUAUUUAAUUUCUCAGUGCUUUCCACUUUCUUCUCCUACAAACACAAUAAAUCAAAAUAAACCAAAAUAAAACCCAAUCCAAAAAUAAAACCAAUAUUCUUUCUGUUUAUUAUUUAAAACUCAUUUGUGCUAUUUUUAUUUUCUUUGCAUAACAAAUCCUAAAAACAUAAAAAUAACGUAAAUAGAUUAAAAAUAUAAGGAACUAACUAAGAAAAGAUGAGUGAAUUCGAAGUAAAAAUAUAUAUAAAUAUCAUCCGAUCAAAUACCCCCACACUUAACUUUUGCUAGUCCUCGAGCAAAACAAAGAAAACAAGAACAAGAAGUAACAAGAAAAACAUUAGUUUCUCCCUAUCUGACCCUCAUAGAAUUUCAUUUAAGAAAACAAAUCAUCAAGAACCAUAGCUAGCAUCAAGGAACUAAUCCAAGUUCAUCUUCCUUAUUCAAAUAUUAGCAGUAGUCUUCAAAUCAUCCUUGAAGUGUAGUGUGUGAGAUAGCCAUGCUAAUGCAAUUUCAAGUUUUUAUUUUUAAAAUCAUCAUAUGCAAACUAGUGACCUUCUCAUGGGAUAUGCACUCAAUCACACAUGUGUUUAGUUUUAAUGUGUUUCGCUCAAAGAAACAAAUGUGAAAUUUCUACCAUAAGCUUGCAUAAAGAUCACUUCUCCUCAGUCAUAAUUGCAAAACUUAAAUCAAGAGGACUUUUAUUGGAUGUAAUGAGGCUUGGGGAUAGGGUUAUUGAAAUGAAAGAAUAGGAAAACACAAGUUCCAAGCUAUAUUGCAAGCAAUUCUUUUGUUUAGAUUUAUAAGAACUCAAUUUUUCCAGCGAUUCUUCUAGCACCUCCAACCAUACCCUUAAACUGAAACUUUUAAAAAAAACUUUUUUUUUCUUUUUUUUUCUUCUUUUUUUUUUUUUUUUUUUUUUUUUUUUUUUUUUUAAUACAAACAUGAAAUACCCCUACACUUAAUCUUUUGCUAAACAUCUUCACAGUACUUCACAAACGUUUCUCAUAAAACAAUCUCACAUUGCUCACUAGCUUGCUUGGAAAGGGUAAGGAAAAAUGUUUCAGGUAUAAGGGUAGACAUAUCUGGUGAUAAGAAAUAAAAGGCUCAACAUACAUGGCUCAAAUUGGCAAUCUAAUGAUAUCAUUUUUCUUUGGGAAACAUGGUUAUUUGGGCCAUAGUGGUAAACCUAAUGCCUCUAUCAUUUCCAAGUUUAUGCAAUCAAUGACAAACAUUUCGAAAGAUCGUUACGCAAGUUCUAGAGAUGUAUCUCACAUAAGUUCAUCACACAUGAAAAAAUAGGAGUGUAUGAAAAAUGCACACACUUUCAAUAGGCUCAAAAACUCACAUAGGAUGUAUAUGGUCACUAAAUUCACAUAUGAAGCUUUAAGUCAUACUUUAGUUUCACAUUAACAAGGCUAUGUGCAUUUGGUUUUUCAAAGAUGGUCAAACAUGUACAAAACUAACAAGAGAAUAAGGAAUUUCACAAAACACAUGUUAACUAAGUUCUUGAUGAUCAUGGUUCGAAUUUGAUCCAAUUAUAUCAUUGGGUCGGGAAACUAACAAAAAACUAAUUCAAAACAAUAAGGGAAACAAGACAAUAUUUUUGGAUUUUUUAAAUUUUCCGAUUUUUUUAUUUUUUUUUAUUUAUUUUUUUUUAUUUUUUAUUUUUUAAGAAAACAAAAACUAACAACACAUAAACAAAUGAAAUUCUAGAGAUUUCUACCCCCACACUUAAACUUGACAUUGUCCCCAAUGUCAGAAAACACUAUAAUGCAAAUAAAAAAAAUAAAAUAAAAUAAAUAAAUAAUAAGAAACAAAAUAACGCAAUUGGACUGAAAACUUCCCUAAUUUGCAGUAAAAUCAAGCGAUGACCCCCAAGCUAAAAUUCUGCAAUCAACUUCAAGGGUGGAAAUAACCAAAAGUUCCUGCAAAGAAAAGAAAUAAUUCAGUUAAGUACGCAAGAAAAUUAAUUAAAAAAAAAAAUUGCAAACGAAAAAUUGAAAAUUACGAUAAAAGAUAAUGAAUAAAACUAAUAAGUAAUCAUUGGUCGUGCUUGUUGACUUUCCACAGCUUUCCUCUUGAACAGGGUGACACUUAGCUUUUCACUUGCAAGUGAUGAUUUUAUGAUAUUGUACGGCGAAGCUUUGCUCUUUGGUUAUGUUGCAGUUCCUUAUUUGUUCUCCAAGCAGAUGUGGCAGCUUCUCUAGUUCCUCAGUUCGGACUCCUUCCGCUGGGAUGAUUGUGCAAGCUGCAUUCUUCUCUGCUUGUUUCUUCUGCACAACGGGCAGGCACGAGGGAAAGGUGUUGGUCCUUAUUUCUUUCUUCAAUCUUUCCAAGUGCCCACCUCUUGCUUUCUUUCUCCUUGUCCCUAGCUGAAUUGUCUCCACAUGCUUCGAGGUAUCAUUUUCACUUCCCUUACUGUCCCCCAGGCAGAUGUGGUAGACGAAGAGAAAGCAUAAAAAUGAUGAAGAUGAGUACUCGAGAGCAAGGCUAGGUAAGCAAUCAGGAAAGGGUUCCAGGCAGUUGGCUCCAGAUUGGAAGAUUGAUACCAAAUGCUGGCUGAUUGCUCUCUUUCUCCUUGUCGGAAAACAAAGACAAGGAGAAGGACAUGGAGAAAGCAUGAUAUGAGAUACUCUUGCUUUCAACCUUUAUGAUAUGAAAUACUUUUGCUUUGAAUGGGUUGUUCGCAGGAGUAUCCCAAGGAAUGAGGAACACAGAGUGACUCGAGAGGAUUAUUUGGGAAUGCAUUUUCGGAGAUGAAGAGGUGUUGAGAGGGUGUGCUGAGAGAGUGUGCUUUUGCUGUGGAAGGCGAAGGUAGAAACUUAUAGGACUUGCCUUCACAACCGGAACUGUUCUCUCACUCAUUGUCGGCAGCCGGUGGAUGGAUGAAUAGUACAAAUUACGCGCUUUUUGACAAAGCUGCCCGUAAUUUCCGCAAAGCAGAUUCCUCAUUGAUAUCUGGAAUCGGCGCUUCGAGCUCUGAGCAUCGUCGAUUGUAGAGGUAGCAUGUGACACGUGCGGAUAAAUCUGGAAAAGAAGAUUUGCCCGUGGGUUGAAGCCCAGCUUUUGAGAAAGCUAGCGUGUCUUUAACUGUUGAAUUUCCCUCUUCGAUUUCUGAAUUGGUGCUUCGACAAACUGCCCGAGAUUUCCGCAAAGCAAUUCGCGUGUGACAAGUGACGACACGUCUGGACAAUUGAUCCUUUGAAAUCCGGGGUUCGGCUCGUGGUUUCUGAGCAAGCCCAGCCUUUAAGAAAUGAAACCUCUUUUGAGAAAAGAAUCCGGCUUUUGAGAACGGAAACUCCUCUUUUGAGAAAAGAAUCCGGCUUUUGAGAAAUGAGCCCCGACUCUUCGAUUUGCGAGAGGACGCUUCUCUGAGGAGCGCCUCUUUGAUUUCUUCUUUUUAUAGAGGCGUUAAUUUUGUUCCACAACACACUUGAGUACCCUCCUGUAAACACUCCCUUCUUGCACUUGUUUAAUCUUGAUCAUUCCGACUCUCUUCUUUCUUUACCACCUCUGAAAAAUGUCUGGCCCUUCUGAUCGUCGUUUUGACUUGAACAUUGGUGAAGAGGCAGCUCCGCCUUCACCAGACAACAUAUGGCGGCCAUCCUUCAUAUCCCCUACCGGUCCCCUUACCGUGGGGGAUUCGGUGAUAAAAAAUGAUAUAUGACAGCUGCGCGGUGGUGGCCCGAAACCUUGUCACUCCCAGAGAUAACAGACUGCUCGCAAGGCGGUCUGAUGAAUUGGCGGUCAAGGAGUCUCUGGCUCUCAGUGUGCAGUGUGCGGGUUCCGUAUCCAACAUGGCCCAACGCCUAUAUGCCCGAACCCGUCACGUUGAAUCCUUGGUGGCUGAAAUACAGUGUCUCAAGCAAGAGAUUAAAGGGCUUAAGCAUGAGAAUAAGGAAUUGCACAAGCUCGCACACAGCUAUGCCACCAGCAUGAAGAGGAAGAUUGACCAGAUGCAGGACACCGAUGGUCAAAUUUUACUUGAUCAUCGGAGGUUUGUGGGUUUGUUCCAACAACAUCUGCCUUCGUCUUCUGGAGCGGCACCGCGUAGUGAAGCUCCAACUGAUCAACCUCUGCUGCCUCCUCCUUCUGUGGCCCCGCCGACUGCUGAAGCCCCGCCCACUACUGAAGCACCACCCGACCAAUGAAUACUAUUAGUUUACAUUAUUGUAAAAUAUUGCAUUUUUUUUUUUUAUGUAUUUUUUUUUUUAAUAAUUUUUUAUUUAUUUAUUUAUUUAUUUUUUUUUAUGUUUAUUUUUUUUUUCAUUAAUUUUAAAUUUUAUCUUUUUUUUUUCUUUUUAAAUGUAAAUUAAUGUAAAGAGACUUUGGUUAACCUUCCCCCACACUUAAACUAAAUAACACAAACACAAACUCACAGAAAUCAACCAAAUAACACAACUAACUAAACAAAACAAAAUGAAAGCAGUAAAGAUAAGGGUGGAAGAAUGCAAAGCUGAUUGGGUUAGUGAUUCCAAAGUCUCCCUUCGUUGAAUGCUUGGGUUGCCUCCCAAGAAGCGCUUGAUUUAACGUCUUUAGCCGGACGCAUCUUUCCUUUAAAUUUCCCUCAGCUCCAUUUGUGCCUAAAAUCAAAGAAAGAAAAAUAAAUCAAAUAUCAAAAGUAAAAUACACAAACACCAAUAUAAACAUAAACAAAAACAAAAAUAAAAGGAUUAGCAAAGUUACUAAUCCCCGGCAACGGCGCCAAAAUUUGAUGCGUGAAUUACUUGACACACAAAUUAAACCCUCUUUUUGACAAUUGUAGUAUAGAUGUAAGUAGGGUAUCGUUCUAGGCCGGGGAUUAGGAGGGAUUGCUAAUCUAUUAAAUUAACUUAAAAAUAUUAAAUAAGACUCAAGGACACAAAACUAGGCUAAAAACUAAUAACUCGAAACACACUUAAAAUGACUCAAAAUAAUGAAAACAAUUAAAUUAAACACUAGGAACUGAAAUGGACGGAAAUUAAAUUAAAAGACUAACAAUAAAGAAAACUAAAUAAAUAAUAUAAUUUAAUAAUGGAUGGGUGUUUGGUUUUGAUGAAAAGUAAAUUAAACUUAAUUAAAUUACAGAAUUGACAAAAAAUAAAAUUAAGGUAAAAUGAUAAAUGACGGACUAGCUAGAGGGUUUUUCUCCACACAUGACACAUAUGCAACCUAAAUUGAUUUUCAAUUGUUCUUUCAAUAAGUUGUGAAUUUCAACACUUCAGAUUAACCGUGAAUAGCACUUUUUUAAUCUUCAAGUUUUCCUUAAGUUAUUGAAUUGGACGGGAAAACGCAUACAACAAUUCAAAACAUUCUUCAAAAGUCCCCUACGUGAAAAGCACAAUAGAGAUACAAUCAAAGAUCAUUAAACUUUGUGAAAACUAUAAGCAUUGACGAGGCAUUCGUAACUAUGAAAAGCAUGAUACUCUUGCCAAGAAUUUACUUAACGUGAUUGUGACUAGCAACCUUUACUACUUGUGAAAAUAAGUUCAUAACGAUUAGGUGAAAUUCACUUAUAUUCUAGCAUCAAAUUCAUGCAUGUAAAUUAAGCGUGCACUCUCAACCAACAUACACAAAUCAGUUUUUAUACGAACGGAUAAGUAAAUUGAAAUCACAACUUAUGAAAUCACAACCGAAGGUAAUCAAUUCAUAUUACAAAUAUAUUCAUGGCUUUGAAUUAACCUCUAGCCAAAAUAAAUUUAAUUACACAUUAUUAAAACAAAAAUAAAAUAGAAGUUUGAAAAGAUUAAACCGAAAGAAGGUGAUCUGUUGCUUUCGUGCCCACGCUGCCAAGGGUAGCUUUCUGUGCCGUUGGUUUCUCGUUCCUGCGCCUGCCGUUCUCUCCCUCGCGCUGAUUUCUUCUCGCUGACCCCGUGCUGCCCAAGGCAGCCUCCUUAUUUCUCUCUUUCCUGCGUCUCUGCGAGCUGCCCAAAGGGCAGCCCCUUUCUCC